AGAACCCUAAAACAUUGUACGCUCGCGACCCUGGUCUCUUUCGCUCGCAGCCUCGCGUGGCGGCGCCUCGCCAUGGUGCGCUGGGUUUGCACGGACGCGACGGACAGCGCCACCUCUUUCCAUUCGAUUGCACGGACGCGAGCGGCGCGGCGGGAUUUGGGUGUGGCGGCAAACAACUCCGAAGUUCAGCGCGGGCUAGCGAGGGGACCGAACGCCAGCGAAGCCAGCCGUCGAUCCAGCGAGCGGGGAGCAGAUCCUGCGCGAGGGGAGGCCGGGAGCAGAUCCAGCGAGCAGGAAGCCGAUCCAGCCGACGAGGGGAUCCAUCAGUCGCGGGCGAUGCGGAUGAAUCGGGGGCCUGCCGAUCCACUCGACGCGGUCGAACCGCCUGCGUGGAAAGGGUGAGACGCGGGCGGUAAUGGCCGGCGCAUCAUCACGACUUCUGAUUUUCCAUAUUUUUACAUGGGAACAGGGGAGCUUUGGACCUUGUGUCUAGACUACAAUCUAACCAUCAAUAGCCAGCAGCUUCAUCCGCGUAACACGUAAGCUAUCUCCUUCCCUCCUUCACCUUCUUGGAUUUGCAUUGUUUUUAGAUGCUUUAAGUUUCUUGUGGAUGUCAUCUUACUGAACCACGUGACUAGAACAAAAUCGCUGGAAGUGUGUAGCAAACAACCGAUUGCUACUGUAUGGUCUAUGCCAUGUUUGCUGACCCCUUUGUCUGUAGUUUCCGAUUUUGUGCACAAACAGUUCAGCAAAUCAAAAGUGUGUAGAUGCUCUAAAGCUAUGUAUGCUUCACAAAAGAAAGAAAGGGAGACGAGGAGGGAUGCUUAGUCAUUGCCUCAUGGGUCAUUGUUUCUUGGGGAUCAUGCAUGUAUAUAUGACUGAUAUGGAUUCCUAAACUGAUCGCCAUGCUUUUAUGGGUCUAGCCAAGGUUUUAUGUGUUCUUAAUCUACUCUUUCAUCAAUCUCCAUGGAUCCUAUUGUUAUUAGUUUUCCAGUGCUCAAAUUUACCUGCUCUGUAUGAUAACCCAAGUGUGUCGUUGCCUACACAAGCUAAUGAGCAAGAAUUAGUCUACCAUUCAUGUUUUUUCAUCUUUACGUAUAAUUUUGUUGUAAUACAGAAAGAUGGACAUCUGACACUGCUUGUAGAUGUAGUGAAGGUACUCCUGGACCAUGAUCCAUCCCUUGGGAAAACGUUUGCCCAAUCAAAAUGUGACUCCUCUGAUUUGCGGCAAUUAGAGGCCACCUCAAGGUAGUGAACCUUCUGCUGGGUUGGUUGAACUACCAAAGGCGAACGGAACAACAAUUGCACAUACCCUUUAUUUUCCUGAUUGCCUCAUACUGCAGGGAAAACAUGAGGGGCUUUCAAACUGCAGUUCGAGAGACAAUCUGUUUGUCCUAUGGAGGUGUACUCAAUGGACUUCUGUUUUUGCUACGCUAUUCUUCAAUAAAUAUUAGUUUUACCUUCCGCAUUUUCUUCCAAGCGACUUUAUUCUUUUUCUUAUAACUUUGUCCCAUCUGCUAUCCAGUUAGUGAUAUUUGGUUUGUUAAUUCUCUCUACUUAGCAGGUCAAAGUUUAGGUAAGGCCAAAGUCCAAAGUUGUUUCAUGCAACUUAGCAUUAGAAUGGAUCGGCUUUCUAGAGCAGAAAAGACACAUAGUUUUUUUUUUUACGUAUUGUGCCUAUUCGGAAACAAGAAGUGUCUGCUUUGUAGUUUUUUUUUCAAAAAAUAAUAUAAUUAGAAUGAAUGAAAUAUGUGAGGGUUGAGC